GCGAUUGUCCAUAGGCAGACUUGAUAGGCUCGAUCUCUUUCACAGGAUGACAUCUUGGCGUGAUCAGAUUAUGAUAGAGAUAACUUUCAAGAUAAAGCUUGGCUCUUAUAGUUCAAUUUGGAAAAGACGUCUGGGUUUGCCGUUCUGUAUAAGAGCACCCUUCCCUUUGAUUCUGCAUUCUCCAUCAAGAACGUGCAUUGGGCAUACCGAGCUGAACUAGACGUGGCCUCCCCUCAAGAUUUUUGACAUAUCUCCACCGCCAAGCUUCGUAGCUACUUGAGAAGUGACCUCUGCUUCUUUAAUUAAGGACAUCAUUUUGAAGGAAAACAUUAAUUGCAGGCGGUAUUCAAACCAUUGCUUUACAGAGAAUCUGAGAGAAUAUUUUUGGCAGUCUGUCUUUGAUAGGCUCGGGAAUAUGGUUAAUUUGGCGCUUCUGAGAUAUGUUCGGUACUCGUAUUUUGAUAUUAUUGAUGUUUAGUUUCUCUAUGUUUUAUUUGUUGUUUAGUAGCCCGACGUUGUUUGGUGUGAUAGGGAAUCCAUUUUUAGCCCCAACACCGACAUGGUCUGAUUUGUGCCCAACCCUAAAUGCGCAUCAACUCUUUGACCUUCAGGUUAUUUUUUGGGGGAGGAAUUGUUUUACCAAGACCUCGAAGUCAAAGUAUAGUAAGAGUGAAAAUGUCUUUCAUUCCCUUGUCUUUGUAGUAAUACUUCUGUAAUUUAGCCAUCGACUGGCUGUAGAAUCAACUAGAAACCAAAGUUGAACCAAGAACAUCUAGCUGAUCAUGCAUAUCUGACCCUCAAUUUAUCUGAUAUGCAAGUUGUAUAACAAAUUUGACGAGCUAGGGAUGAGGAUUUGUUAUCUCGACGACAGUUAUCUCAACAAGCAGUGAAGCAUAUAAUUCCAACAUGACGCAUGUGCCAAUACGCAGCAAUAUAGGAAUAUAAGAACAAUAAAGAGACAUCAAAUUUAACUUGGAAACCCUUCAAUGUGAAGAAAAAAAACCACGGGACAAACUCCGAAAAACUUCCACUAUGAAAAUGGGAUUACAAUCACCAAUCUCUCUAGAACACUAGAGGAAAAACUCUCCAGAGAAACACUCUUGGGUAUACACUCACAAGAAUAUUGUAAAAGCAGGAUUUCUUCUCUCUCUCCUUUUACAACUCUCUCUCACUUUCUCUGUUUCUG